ACUGAUUUUUCCCAAAAGGCCUUAAUCACGGUGAUUGACACAAAGGAACUUUUAAAGCCAACCUUGAAAUAUUUUGUCACGGUAUCCAUGGAUCCCGACGGCUGCAUAUACAUAAUCAGUGCACGUGAGUGGAAGAAUCUGAUCGUCUUUCAAAAGCGUUGGCUGAAGAACAAUAUUUAUGCGGACAACUGCAGAGACUUGAACAAGUGCCUCACCGAUAACAACAUCCCCGACGAAUCCGAUCCCACUUUUGGGUGUUACGACAAAUUUUCAUUUUGUUCCUCAAGUGACAGAAGGCUUAGAGGACGAAAGGGCGAGUUAGCCAGGUGUAUUAAUAGGAAUAAACUGUGAAUUAAUGCAACAUUGCCUUAAUAAAAGUAAAAUCAGAGUAUACCACACA